rnacentral:lncRNA from 1 species
UUGUCUGGAUGGAGUACAGAGCUUCUGCAGGUGCUCCAUCUUCGUCGGCAGCAAGGUUCAGAGGGAAAAGGUCCAGGACAAAGCUUAAGGAAGGACAGUGCUCCUAAUGUCACAAGGCUCCCAGACAUCUACCCAGCUUCCUUUGUCUCUGACCGGUCUCGGUCCAUCUGGGGCAGCCAUCCUUCUCCUUGUUCCUGGAGCUCCCAGCUUUAGAUCACUGGCACUCCUGGGUGGCCAUCUCGUCGAUUUUGACACUUUUAUCUUCUGAGGAUGAUCCUUUUCCACACUGUAACUUCCCAGCCCUGAAUUUGUCCAGAAACUGAAAACCACUGGACUUGGGGCCAGACCUAGCUGUGACCUCCAGCAAAUUAUUUCUCAUCUCCAAGGCUCUGUUUCCUGAUCUGAGGAAGUGGAGAUAAUAAAACCACCGCUGAGGGAUAUGAGGAUUCAAAGACCUAGUGUGCAUGCCCGCCAGAUGCUUUGUGUGACAACUUCUGGUGCCCAGUGUGAAUGUGGAGAUACUUUGCCCUCUCAGCGGACUCAUCUCAGUGGAUUAAUCAGAAGUGCACACAGCUUUUGGGGUUUGCUGUGGAGAAGCUUGUGCUGCUUGGAAGGACUGUGUUUCAUGAAAAAGCCCCUAGAUACCCUCAGCUCCUCCUACCCCAUCCCUGCUGCAGAGGCUCAAUUUAUAUCUGUGGUCAGGGCUGAGCCCGGAGGUCUAUACCCAGAGCCGCACACCUAGGAAUCAACGGAACACUCUCUGAGGAAGCUGACUUAGAGACUCGGAGGUGCCUUCUUCAAUCCUGGCAGCUGCCUGGUGCUGCUGGGCUUGGGAGGAUUAGAGCAAGAAACCAGGGGCUGAGCACAGUGGCUCACGCCUAUAAUCCCAGCACUUUAGGAGGCUGAGGCAGGAGGGUUGCUUGAGCCCAGGAGUUUGCAACCAGCCUGGGCAACAAAGCAA